rnacentral:rRNA from 1 species
AGCGAACGCUGGCGGCAGGCCUAACACAUGCAAGUCGAACGAACCUUUCGGGGUUAGUGGCGGACGGGUGAGUAACACGUGGGAACGUGCCUUUAGGUUCGGAAUAACUCAGGGAAACUUGUGCUAAUACCGAAUGUGCCCUUCGGGGGAAAGAUUUAUCGCCUUUAGAGCGGCCCGCGUCUGAUUAGCUAGUUGGUUGAGGUAAUGGCUCACCAAGGCGACGAUCAGUAGCUGGUCUGAGAGGAUGAUCAGCCACAUUGGGACUGAGACACGGCCCAAACUCCUACGGGAGGCAGCAGUGGGGAAUCUUGCGCAAUGGGCGAAAGCCUGACGCAGCCAUGCCGCGUGAAUGAUGAAGGUCUUAGGAUUGAAAAAUUCUUUCACCGGGGACGAUAAUGACGGUACCCGGAGAAGAAGCCCCGGCUAACUUCGUG